rnacentral:rRNA from 1 species
UACGAAGGGGGCUAGCGUUGCUCGGAAUCACUGGGCGUAGAGGGUGCGUAGGCGGGUCUUUAAGUCAGGGGUGAAAUCCUGGAGCUCAACUCCAGAACUGCCUUUGAUACUGAAGAUCUUGAGUUCGGGAGAGGUGAGUGGAACUGCGAGUGUAGGGGUGAAAUUCGUAGAUAUUCGCAAGAACACCAGUGGCGAAGGCGGCUCACUGGCCCGAUACUGACGCUGAGGCACGAAAGCGUGGGGAGCAAACAGG